rnacentral:rRNA from 1 species
AUUGAACGCUGGCGGCAUGCCUUACACAUGCAAGUCGAACGGUAACAGGUCUUCGGAUGCUGACGAGUGGCGAACGGGUGAGUAAUACAUCUGAACGUGCCUAGUAGUGGGGGAUAACUACUCGAAAGAGUGGCUAAUACCGCAUGAGAUCUACGGAUGAAAGCAGGGGAUCGCAAGACCUUGUGCUACUAGAGCGGCCGAUGGCAGAUUAGGUAGUUGGUGGGAUAAAAGCUUACCAAGCCGACGAUCUGUAGCGGGUCUGAGAGGACGAUAAGGCACACGGGGACUGAGACACGGCCGAGACUCCUACGGGAGGCAGCAGUGGGGAAUUGUGGGCGAUGGGCGAAAGCCUGAUCCAGCAAUGCCGCGUGCAGGAUGAAGGCCUUCGUGUUGUAAACUGCUUUUGUACGGAACGAAAAGCCCCGGGUUAAUAACCUGGGGUCAUGACGGUACCGUAAGAAUAAGCACCGGCUAACUACGUGCCAGCCGCCGCAGUAA